rnacentral:rRNA from 1 species
AAUCAACGCUGGCGGCGUGCCUAACACAUGCAAGUCGAACGAGAACGGUUCUUUCGGGAAUUUAGUAAAGUGGCGAACGGGUGAGUAACGCGUGGAUGAUCUGCCCUGAAGCGGGGAUAACUCGGGGAAACCCGGGCUAAUACCGCAUAAUCCCUACGGGGGAAAGGUUUUCGAAUCGCUUUGGGAGGAGUCCGCGUCCGAUUAGCUGGUUGGCGAGGUAAGAGCUCACCAAGGCGACGAUUGGUAGCCGGUCUGAGAGGACGGACGGCCACACUGGAACUGAGACACGGUCCAGACUCCUACGGGAGGCAGCAGUGGGGAAUUUUGGGCAAUGGGGGCAACCCUGACCCAGCAACGCCGCGUGGAGGAAGAAGGUUUUCGGAUCGUAAACUCCUGUCCCGAGGGACGAAGCAAGUGACGGUACCUCGGGAGGAAGCCCCGGCUAACUCCGUG